rnacentral:rRNA from 1 species
GACGAACGCUGGCGGCGUGCUUAACACAUGCAAGUCGAGCGAGCGGCGGACGGGUGAGUAAUGUAUGGGGACUGCCCGAUAGAGGGGGAUAACUACUGGAAACGGUAGCUAAUACCCCAUACUAUCGGAUUACCCCUAUGGGUUUAGCUCGUAGGUGGGGUAAUGGCUCACCUAGGCGACGAUCCCCCGCUGGUCUGACAGGAUGAUCAGCCACACGGGAACUGAGACACGGCCCCGACUCCUACGGAGGCAGCAGAGGGGAAUAUUGCACAAUGGGCGCAAGCCUGAUGCAGCAAUGCCGCGUGUAUGAAGAAGGCCCUAGGGUUGUAAAGUACUUUCAGUGGGGAGGCGUUACCGAAAGAAGAAGCACCGGCUAACUCCGUGCCAGCAGCCGCGGUAAUUG